UACGGGGGGGGCAAGCGUUGUUCGGAAUUACUGGGCGUAAAGGGCUCGUAGGCGGCCAACUAAGUCGGAUGUAAAAUCCCCAGGCUUAACCUGGGAACUGCAUCCGAUACUGGAUGGCUUGAAUCCGGGAGAGGGAUGCGGAAUUCCAGGUGUAGCGGUGAAAUGCGUAGAUAUCUGGAGGAACACCGGUGGCGAAGGCGGCAUCCUGGACCGGCAUUGACGCUGAGGAGCGAAAGCCAGGGGAGCAAACGGG
rnacentral:rRNA from 1 species